rnacentral:misc_RNA from 1 species
AACGCACCUUGCACUCUUUGGUAUUCCGAAGAGUAUGUCUGUUUGAGUGUCAUGAAACUCUCAACCCCCUUAUUUUGUAAUGAUAUAAGUGUAGGGCUUGGAUUAUGGCUGCUUGCCGGAUCUUUAAGUAGAACCAGCUCGGCUGAAAUACAUGAGCAGCGCUUCUUUAAACUAAGGCGGCUUGACUCGGCGUAAUAGCUUAUUCGCUGAGGACGCUUGUUUAAUAACUAGUUGCUUCUAAAUCAAUCUAUACUUUAAGCUUUAGACCUCAAAUCAGUCAGGAUUACCCGCUGAACUUAA